rnacentral:rRNA from 1 species
CCUACGGGCGGCAGCAGUGGGGAAUAUUGGACAAUGGGGGGAACCCUGAUCCAGCCAUGCCGCGUGUGUGAAGAAGGCCCUCGGGUUGUAAAGCACUUUCAGUGAGGAAGAACGCCUGGUGGUUAAUACCCAUCAGGAAAGACAUCACUCACAGAAGAAGCACCGGCUAACUCCGUGCCAGCAGCCGCGGUAAUACGGAGGGUGCGAGCGUUAAUCGGAAUUACUGGGCGUAAAGCGCGCGUAGGUGGCUUGAUAAGCCGGUUGUGAAAGCCCCGGGCUCAACCUGGGAACGGCAUCCGGAACUGGCAAGCUAGAGUGCAGGAGAGGAGGGUAGAAUUCCCGGUGUAGCGGUGAAAUGCGUAGAGAUCGGGAGGAAUACCGGUGGCGAAGGCGGCCUUCUGGACUGACACUGACACUGAGGUGCGAAAGCGUGGGUAGCAAACAGGAUUAGAUACCCGAGUAGUC